AUUGAACGCUGGCGGCAGGCCUAACACAUGCAAGUCGAGCGGAUGAAGAGAGCUUGCUCCUGGAUUCAGCGGCGGACGGGUGAGUAAUGCCUAGGAACCUGCCUGGUAGUGGGGGAUAACGUCCGGAAACGGGCGCUAAUACCGCAUACGUCCUGAGGGAGAAAGUGGGGGAUCUUCGGACCUCACGCUAUCAGAUGAGCCUAGGUCGGAUUAGCUAGUUGGUGGGGUAAAGGCCUACCAAGGCGACGAUCCGUAACUGGUCUGAGAGGAUGAUCAGUCACACUGGAACUGAGACACGGUCCAGACUCCUACGGGAGGCAGCAGUGGGGAAUAUUGGACAAUGGGCGAAAGCCUGAUCCAGCCAUGCCGCGUGUGUGAAGAAGGUCUUCGGAUUGUAAAGCACUUUUAGUUGGGAGGAAGGGCAGUAAGUUAAUACCUUGCUGUUUUGACGGUACCAACAGAAUAAGCACCGGCUAACUUCGUG
rnacentral:rRNA from 1 species